GUCAGUAUCUCCCAGCCACUCCUCAGGCUGUCCACAGAAACAGGAAUGAGCACCAAGGACAGACCAUCCAUUGUCUAGGACUACCCAACAGACAAACAUCUACCAUGCAUCCUGGAUUGAAGUCACACAAUGCGAAGUGUAGCUGGUGUGAAGAGGGAGAUUGCCAUGCUCCUGUCCUCUCACGCAUGAGCCAGUGCUAAGGUACUGGUCACAGGUUAUUUAACAGGAAGAAAAGAGGACAUGGAGUUGCAAGAGAGACAGAGAGGCAGGCAGUCUAUACAGAGAGUUGGAAGAAAGUCACAGUGGACAAAUGUGAUUAUUAUAAACUGUAUGGAAUUUUUAAAUAAACAGUAUUUAAGGAAA